AGGUCCAAAGAACGGAACUGAACCUGGAGACAUUUACUGGCAGUUGGAGGAAACGCUGACUGAGGUCCUGGGUGCCCUGAAGGAGAUACCUGAUGUUGUGGAGCUUGAGACUGUGGAGGUACCUCAGGAAGGCCAUCAGGAGGUGCCAUUCCCUGGGGAAAAGCCCGGGGCUGCUCAGCCAACAGGAGGGUCAGGUGUGGACAAGAGGAGACUGGGCAGGACCAACCCAAAGGCUGUGGCGGGCAGGGCACACAGAGGAGCAGUGGAUGCUGAGACCAGCAGGAAGGUCCUUCUCAGCAACUGCCUGGUGGCCGUGGCCGGGGUGCUCACGGUGCUCUUCCUCUGCCUGGUGGUCCCUGCCUGGGCAAAGGACAUCCAGGGGUGAGUGAGGGGU